rnacentral:lncRNA from 1 species
GCAGUACUUUUGGUCUCUGCUUCACUGGGAGAUGAGACUUACAUGAGGGAUGGGCUGAUUACAAAAUGGGCUGAUUGGCUUUGGGUUGCCUUGCGAUGAAAUGCACAGCUGGUAAAAGCACUGCACUCACUGUCUUCUCCCGAAGUAUUUCCCUCCUUUUGGGGAUCCAGGAUCUAGUAUAAAAUGGCACCCUGAGUUUUGGGCAUCUGUCUUGUGUGAACAUAUUGGCUAAAGUUGAAAGGGUAUUAUUCAGUUUUUCCAUAAACUAAACAUUGGAAUAGAAGCACAACAGGUUUUCCUUAGAGCACUGAUCUGCUCUUUCACAAAAAAAUGUAAAUGGCUAUAAAAAGUUUAUGAGAAUCUCACCUUAUGGUUAAACAUUAAAAUUGGGUAAAUAUGUCUACAAGGUUUUAUUAAAAAUUGGGUUUGACAUUAAUAGUACAUUAAUGUAAAGGUGAAACUUGGCUUAUUUGGUAUAAAAAUCAUACAGGAAGCAUUAUCAAAUGGGAAAUGGUGUUUUACUUUCUUUGGACUAUAUUUGUGUAAUUGUGUUAUUGAUAUAUGAUCUAAAGUUAUGGGAAACUCCUAUAAUUCUUAUAUGACUUUGUGUAUGUUAUUAAUAAUUAUAAUUGUUAUGUAAAGUUUUGUGUACCACAGAAGUAACCAAAUUUCCUUAUCAAUUGUGGCUUUAAUAGUGGCUGUCCUAAAACUUUUUAUUAUCCAUAGACAAUUGUUGUUUUGUUUUAUUCCUCUUUAGAAGGUGGUUUAUAAUCAACUGUAGAACUCUAGCAGGUAUUCUUAAUUGCAGGUUUUCUGAUAACUUUGAAAAUUGUAACAGAAUAGAGGAAACAACUUUCAGAACUCUCAUGAAGAGCUGGAAUGUUCAUGAAUAUCAAAUAGAACAGGAGUUAACUGAAUUAGCUGAACCAAAAGAAAACUGAAGUAAUCUUUUUAACUUUUCUUAAAAUGUUGCUGAUCCUUUGUUCUGUUUUUCAGAGUCAAGGAAACUUUUCUUUUGAGCUAUUUACAGCUUGUAGCAAUUGAGUAAAGUAUACUGCUGUGAACAAAAUUUGGAACAUAUUUGUUUCUCUCUACCUGAUUUCUCCAGGUUUUGGAAGCUAGUUGUGAGUAUUCUUAACUUAUAGCAAUAUAGUUAUUUGCAUAAGUGCAAUAAGAAUCUGUUUUCUUUUUUAACAGGACACAAUUGGAGAAAUUUGUUAUUUUACCAAGGCUCUGACAGGAAUCCUUUGUUUUCCUUUAAGGAAUUAAACUUAACUUUUAGAGCCAAUAAAAUAUUUCUCUUUAAAACUUAUCACAAGGAGUAACAGAUGGAUUCUGAGUGGCCAGUCGGGGCCAGAGAGCCAGAACAUGCAGGUCUUAAAAUGCCAAUGCAGCUGAUUGGCAUCCAAUCAAUAAGCAUACAAUAGUUCAGCCUUCUCUUAACAGGAGAGCCAAAGCAAGCCACAUAGGGGACAACUUCCAGUUAAUGGUUGCUAGGAAAGGCCUUUGGGCAAACUCAUUUCUGUCUUCUUGCUCCGUGGAUACUCUCAUACUCCAAGGAUCUCAUUACUGCCACAGACCCAUUUUUGUACUUGUGUAUUUUCAGCCAAGUUUUGCUGGAGUUAAAAAAUAUAUAUGUGUAUAUAUAUACUGCUUCCUUUAAGAUAAUUUUCUGGCAUGGUUCUAUUUCAAAGUCCUGGUUCUUCUUCUCUGCCUUUGUUCUGAGAACCUGUGUUCUUGUACCAGCUAGCUUGGUUCCUCUCCUCUGGCUUCCUUCCCCGAUGACUCUGAGCACAUUCCCUGGGCUUUGAGCUCUGUUGUCUGUCUAGUGGGGAUCAGGCCUUCCACCAGCCAUUCUCAGCUGGACUUUGAAAAGAAGGGGUCGGAACUUAGGUUUUGCCCUGCGGUUUUUGCCAGGCCUUAGUUUUUGCCCUGGAGUUUAGAGAGAGAAUUCAAAUUCCCUGGCAAAAGCAAGACAGAGACUCAAUCUUUGAGAGGAAUACAACUUUAGAACAAGUUUUAUUUCUUUUUUUACUUUUACUGUUUA